rnacentral:lncRNA from 1 species
UUUGUGUGCAGAUCAAUUACCUGAGUCUCAUCCAAGAGGAGAGGGUGUCCAACGAGCUUAAGACCGGCUGCUUGUUUGGCUUAAAGAACAUAACAGCCAAGACACUACAAGCAUCUAGUUGUCCCUUGAUUCAUCUCUAACCUACGGUUACCUUCGUGUUUCCUUGUGCAUGGUGUUUUCCAUACCUUGCUGGGCAACGUCUGAACCCCAGCCCUCUUCAACUAAAAUUAUGAACAUGCGCCCUGAUGCAUUUGGUCCCUCG